rnacentral:rRNA from 1 species
CCCCUAGAUGUUCUGGGCCGCACGCGCGCUACACUGAACAGUUCAACAAGUCUUAACCUUGGCCGAUAGGUCUGGGUAAUCUUUGAACGCUGUUCGUGAUUGGGAUAGACCUUUGCAAUUAUGGGUCUUCAACGAGGAAUUCCUAGUAAACGCAAGUCAUCAGCUUGCAUUGAUUACGUCCCUGCCCUUUGUACACACCGCCCGUCGCACCUACCGAUUGAAUGGUCCGGUGAACUCUCGGGACGGCGGCUUGGUCGCUUGCGUCCGACUGCUGAAACUUGAUUAAACCAUAUCAUUUAGAGGAAGGUGAAGUCGUANCA